rnacentral:rRNA from 1 species
UACGUAGGGUGCAGGCGUUGUCCGGAAUUAUUGGGCGUAAAGAGCUCGUAGGCGGUCUGUCGCGUCGGCUGUGAAAUCCCGAGGCUCAACCUCGGGUCUGCAGUCGAUACGGGCAAACUAGAGUAUUGCAGGGGAGACUGGAAUUCCUGGUGUAGCGGUGAAAUGCGCAGAUAUCAGGAGGAACACCGGUGGCGAAGGCGGGUCUCUGGGCAAUAACUGACGCUGAGGAGCGAAAGCAUGGGGAGCGAACAGG